rnacentral:misc_RNA from 1 species
AUUUUUAGUUCUCUCUAUCUUGCUUUCACUCCUAGUGAUUCUUUCCUCCAAUUUCUCACUUUUUGAAAUAGCCUUUGCCAUGGCCUUCUUUUUCCUAACAUUCUUCGUCCUUUUCAUUUGUACUCCCUUCGUCUUUCUAAGUGAUCCACCUAUAUGUGGUUUUGGAGCAGCUGAUUCUGAAGUAUCCAUCGCUUGGGCAUCCAUGACCGUCUGGUCAGUGGAGACAUCCAUGGCAGCUAGGCCGUUUUUCUUCUUGUUUCUGUUCUUCG